UCUUUCAAUACCAUGCCAAAUUUCACCUUAAUCCAACUAAUAGAUCUAUAGAUAUCACAGAAAUCCUAAACAACCUCAAACUACCAACUUCUGAUAUGUAUUUGUACCAAAAUCCAAAUAUCUCCCAAUUGCACUAUUGAAUUACUACAAAAUUUCACAUAUACUUAGAACACCUAAUUAUCCAAGCAUAGUCAAAAUUUUAACUGUAGAUGUGAAACUUAUUUUAUGAACUAGCUGAGAGUGAUAGCCCUAAUUUCCUUGCAUAAAUCCUAAGUUGCUAAUAUAAACCUUGGUUUCCAACAAUAUAUGCUAAUUCUUCCCAAAUCUUAUCAAAACCACCCUUAUGUCUAUGGAACAAGCUCUAACUUAUCUCUCCAACUUUAAUCUUUGAUCUUUGAAUGAAACCCUAUUUUUCCUACGUAAUCAUUUUAGUGGCCAGAGAUCUAAUUUUAA
rnacentral:lncRNA from 1 species